ACCUAGUGAUGUGGGCAUUUUUGGAGCAGAUCCCUAAAGCGCUCCCAAGUCUCGAAAAAAAGCUUCCCAUCUAUCUAUGAGACACUUGUGAUUGCUUUCCAAAGCU